rnacentral:rRNA from 1 species
UACAGAGGUCCCAAGCGUUGUUCGGAUUUACUGGGCGUAAAGGGUGCGUAGGUGGCGAGGUAAGUUCGAUGUGAAAUCUCCGAGCUCAACUCGGAAAUGGCAUUGAAUACUAUCCCGCUUGAGGGUCGGAGGGGAGACUGGAAUUCUCGGUGUAGCAGUGAAAUGCGCAGAUAUCGGGAGGAACACCAAUUGCGAAGGCAGCUCGCUGGGACGUUACUGACGCUGAGACGCGAAAGCGUGGGGAGCAAACAGG